rnacentral:rRNA from 1 species
GAUGAACGCUAGCGGCAGGCUUAAUACAUGCAAGUCGAGGGGCAGCAGUUUUGUAGCAAUACAGAAGCUGGCGACCGGCAAACGGGUGCGGAACACGUACGCAACCUUCCUUUAACUGGGAGAUAGCCCACCGAAAGGUGGAUUAAUAUCCCAUAGUAUAUUUGAGUGGCAUCACUUAGAUAUUAAAGCUCCGGCGGUUAAAGAUGGGCGUGCGUCUGAUUAGGUAGUUGGCGGGGUAACGGCCCACCAAGCACACGAUCAGUAGCUGAUGUGAGAGAAUGAUCAGCCACACGGGCACUGAGACACGGGCCCGACUCCUACGGGAGGCAGCAGUAAGGAAUAUUGGUCAAUGGACGCAAGUCUGAACCAGCCAUGCCGCGUGGAGGAUGAAGGUCCUCUGGAUUGUAAACUUCUUUUCUUUGGGACGAAACCCCUGUUUCUACGGGGACUGACGGUACCAGAGGAAUAAGCACCGGCUAACUCCGUGCCAGCAGCCGCAGUAACAC